CUACCAUUAGUGAUUUCAUUUAAACAAACAAAAACAUUGCCAUCUCACUGCCAUUUCAGGGGUGAGGAAAGAGGCCGAGAGAAGAACCCACUCAGAAACCACUAUUUGAUUAAAGGACAUCGUGAAACCCCCAGGUGGGAGCAACCAGCACGUUCUCGGGGACUGGCAUCGCCAUGGCUUUGGGAGAAAUGUUUUUCUAGCUAGGGCAGGGCAAUGCACCCCAGUUCACUUUAUUAACAUGCUCAGCAAAGCUUUGUUGACGACCUACUAAGUUAUAGGUCAGUUCUCAAGGAGGCGCCUUACUUACCAUGCCGGGCUGCAGUAUGCCGUCGCCCCAGGUGGCCCCCACACUCGCUGGCUUGGCGAGGCAAGGGUCUGGGCUCCAGGCAGCUUCCAGACCCCCAGACCCCCCGGUGGUAUAGAAGAAGUCACCCUUGGCAGCAGCCCCUCCCCAGGUUAAAUGUGCACAUUCUUGAACAGAGACACAAGCUCAACCUAACAGAAUCGUGGUGUCCCAAGAACGCAAGAAACUCACCCCAAACCAGGAGGUGGCGACGGGCACAGGGUGGGCGUGAGGCGCCAGGCGGCCAUCAGGAAGGACGUGGUCCAGGGUGGGGGUCCUCCGGGGGUUCUUCCAUCCCUUCCGUCCAGUUCUUCAGCCAACCCGACCAAGUUGCAGCCCAUGUCCCAAGGACGGGGCCGACCUUGGGGAGGGACAGAAAGUUAGAAAGAUCGAAAGACAAGCACCCCAGAAAAACCACCAACACCCCAAGAAAAAGCACAGAGCCCAAUCUCACCUGUGGUGUGGUUGUCAGUGGAGGGAGGGGUCCAAAUCACACACCUCAACUCAAGAGGGAGACCUUUGUGGCCAGAGCCCGAAAGGACACACACCACACUGUCCUAUAUUCCCACCUUGGUCCUGAGUUCAGGGCCAGGGGUCCAGGACAGUCAUCAGCACUCAGCGACAGGAUGGAGUGCGGGAGGCAGAGAGAGCAGGCGGGGCUGGCUCGGACCAGCGGCAAGCACAGGCAGUCUGAGGUUCCUCUGGGGUUUGAAUUAAAGGUUCCAAAGGAAGUCCAGCCAGGCCCGCCCCUCGCACCGUCCUGCAUGCCUACUACAGAGCGGGGAAUCCACCGCUCCAGCGCCUGGGACAGCCGUGAGGCCGCCUGUGGCAGAAGCAACCCCCCGGCCUGCCCUCCCAGGGGUGGCAGAGGCCAUCAAGGGACGCGCUAGCGUGGCGGGUGCCCAGCCCGUGCCGGGCUGUGGGCUUGCUGAGUAAGGAUCAACUGUUGAAUGACGGGAUGAACGCAUGAGUGAAUGAAGGCGUGAGACCAGCAAGACCCCACUCAAACGGGGCUGAGGAUGGGGCGACACCCAUUCCGCAGUCAAAGCAAACGGCCCCUCCACCCUUUUGACCUCAAACUCCUUGCACCCCGAUGCCUCCCGUCUAGCAGCUCAGGUGUGGUGGCCGAGUUCCUUCAUUGACUCACCUGUCCAAACAGACAUCCCACAUACUCUUACUGAGCCCCACUUUUUUGCCAAGCUGGUACUGGGACACCCCAAGGAGGUGUGGGCUGGCCUAGGGUACCCCCAGAGGAUGGGGUUAGGACAUGAUGGAGAAGCAGGGGAGACGAAGGGGAGAUGGAGAACAGAAACGGAGGCAGGAAAAGCAGAAAAACAGAAACUCAGAAUUGGGGGCAUCUCCUGGCCUCACUCCUCUGGUUUCCCAUCUGCUUAAGCUGCCUCCUCCCACAUCUCCUGAGCCUCCAGGACUGACUUAAUGACGGAUCUUGAGACCAGUGGGCUCCAGGGGUCAGGUGACCAACACGGGAAGCCUACAGUGGGCUGGAGAUGUGGUGCAGGGGUCCUGAGUCCACAGGCAGCUGAGAGCCGCGUCCAUCCCAGGCAUGAAAGGGGUGCCACAGAACCAAGAAGGCAAGUUAAAAGGGGCAACCCCCCCACUCAAGGAGGCAAUCAGCUCAGAUUCUCUGCUGGUGGCCUCAGGAAAGUUUAAGACGACUGCCUGCUUUCCAGAAACCCAAGCAGGAGUCCGGCUGGGAGUUUCACCAUGUGGCAGGCGCUGUUAGGGUCCUGGGAGUAAGCACACCCUGAAGAUCCUGGCCGACUCAUGCCUUCCACCCCCUCCCCAGGUUCUCAAAUGCUGGCAUAUUAAUGGCUUUGGGGCUCAUCUUUUAAUUAUCAGUGGUGUUUGAGGGUGGGAAGGGUCCUGUGAUUUUGUUCCUAUUUAAAAGUCCUCACUUAGCAACCCCCAGAACUGCUCUUCUUUCACUCUUCAAUGACUGCGUGGGGUAGUGGGGUAGGUUUCUGUGGGAUCACCAUUUUCAGAGGUGCUCAACCUCAUCCUGGUUCCUAAUCCGGGCGACCUCUGGGUCACCUCCACCCAAAGGGGUGGAAUCACCCCACCCAGCCACCUAGACAUCCUUCGAGAUUUUUUGGGGAUGUUGGACAAGAGUUGGUUUUGCUAACUUGGAAAACAUGUCUAAUUCUGACCCAUGAUGCCAGGGAACCUUUAGCCAAGAGAUAAGUUAAGGGAGGAAGUUUUCUACUAAUAAAAUUUUCUGGCUCCAACCACCUCGCUUCUCCCUUAGUUUUCUUCCACUUGGCUGAAAGUCUGGCUAAAGCUGGAAUUAAAGUUUAAUUGGAGUGAUCUGAUCUUGAUUGAUCUGCCUUGGGGUGAGAAAUGUCCACAAUUCGGGACACAUAAGGGCAGACUUGAGGCACACCUGCUCUAGAGACAAGAAUGGGCUCUGGGGAGCUCAAGGGUCAGGACAGAAGGGGGAUUCAGGCGGGCUGCAGGACACAUGGGAGAGGGCGACGUUGGGGCGUGAAAGGAGCGUCUACAGGUUCUGAUGCCCGAUCUGAGCUGUAAUGUUCCCUCUGGCACUUGGUUCGCUGAGUGAUCCUAACACACUGCUGGACUCUGAACCUCUCUAACAGCAUUCGGGAGCCAAACAUGGACCCUAAAGCACACCCUUCCAGGGGGUGGCCCUCUGGGGCACCAACAUCCAUCCAUUUCUUGACCUAAGUGGAGCAUCCCAUGGGUGUUGACUUUGUGAUAAUUCCACCGGUUCUACCCCUAUGACAUGGCACCAUUCUACCUUUGGUAAUCUUGAGUAAGUGUGAAUGUUCAGUGGUCCUGGAACAAGUCAGGUGCGUGCCGGACGGGGAAAUGUGUGCUCUCAGUCCUCAGCCCUCGGAGAAGGAACCCAAGAGGUGUGACUCGCCCUUGCCCUGGGUAUAGGGUCGAACAAAGAAACUUUCCACAAAGCAGCCCUAUCUGCAGCCCGCUUCCCAAAGCUGCCUUCAACUUUCAACCCCGCUCAAUGGACUGCUCGCAGGGAUGGAGGCAAAGACUUAAAGGGGGAGCAAAUGAAACCUCAGCUCCAGCCCCAAAAUUAGAAGUGUGGGCGAAGAAGCGAGUGGCCCUGCCCUGUGGACGCCAGUUCACCUCAUUAUGAUAAUCAGUGUGUUUUUCCUUUGCAGACAAAGAAGGCUCCUUAUGAGACGAAUAUUGGAAUCCAGCGGCUACCUCAUUAACGUCUGCAGCCUCCUCCUUGACAGGGCCUAAGAUUAGCCCUGUGUUCAUUAAGGGAAAAGGGCGGAAAGUGGAAUAAAACUGAAAAACACAGCUGGGGGGAGGGGUGGGCUCUUUCUGUCAGCCAUUCAUUCAUUGAAAGACUCCUGUGCACCUUGGGGAUUUAAUCACCAGCAAAGGGGGGGCAGGGGGGUCUAACCAGGAUGCAGGAGGUAAAGAGGUUAAACUUGAUAGAAGGAGUUAAAAACCCAAAAUGGGGCAAUUUGAUUUGAAAGCUUCCUGGGAUUUGUCACUGGGAUAAUCAAUUUAAAACCUUUUUCCUGUUUACUUUCUUUCAGCCGAAACUGAAAACCUUUCUCUGGAUGUCUUUUUUGGUAGAUUUUAAUAUUCUCUAAACCUCUCCCCCCUACUUUUUUGUCUUUAGUGGGUUUUUCUGUAAAUUCUUUUCUUCUUUCUCUCCCACUCCCCCCCCCCCCCCCCGCCCCUCUCCACCUCUUUCUUCUCGCUUUGGUCCUCCCCAUGGGAACGGUUUCAACCUGUAAGGAAAUCUAAUGGGGACUCCAAUUAUAUUUUCUCCUGAAUACCUGAUUGACUUUAUUUUAAGUCUUUCAAAUCGUCUCUGGUUCUUACCUGCAAGAUAGCCCACCUCACCUGCCAGGUAAAGACGAUUAACCCUAUUUUACAACUGAGAAAAAGGUGGCUUGGGAAAACUGACCUACCUCAAGGCCCCAGCACUAAGUGGGCUAGCCAAGGCUCGAACCCAGGGCGAGAUGGCAAGAGGCAGCUUCCAGACAUUAGGAGAUCCGGAUAUGCAAGUUUCUGGGAAAACUAAGAAAUGAGGGAAGCCAGGAGCAGGUGUCCCCGUGAGGUCUACAGGGAGUGUGUCAACAGAAGUGAACCGGAGCCGAAAAGCUAUGUAAGAGAAAGAAUGAGUCCCUGUGUCCAAGAGCCAGACACGUGGCCAAGGUGAAGCUCCAGAAAAGUUAUUACCUUAGUGAGAGCCGCUCGAUGGAGUAGAGCAAGUCAGGAGGCAGUGGGUUGAAGAGGAAAUUGGAGGUGAGGAAGGAAGACAGCAAGUGAAGACAGGCCUUUCGAGAAGCUUGGCUGCGAAAGGAAAGAGAGAAACGGUAGUGGCUAGAAAGGAGGACAGAAGGGACCUGGGAGGCUGUGGAGAGAGCAAAGUUAGGAAUUCAGAGGAUAACCGAUGGUGGGAGGUCCAGGGCUGAGAUAGGAGGGACCAGAGCAGAGGGCACCCCUUCCUUUACAAGGUGAGAGGCGAUGGGGGUACACAUGUACGGUGGGACCCCAAUCUGAAAGGCCGCUUGAUGGCUCUGUUCCCCUAGAAGGUGCAGGCCAGCCCCGGGCCGGGACAGGGAGUUGUGAGGUUCAAAUGAAUUGUCGGUUGCCAGAAAGGGCUCUGCAUACUACACAGGAGACAGAAACGGGCACCGUAAUUACUCACUGGUAGCGGGACGCUCAAUUUUACAGCCCACUCCAAUCUCACCGGGGCCUGGACUUUCACUGACCAUAAAUUAUGCGUCCUUACAUUAAGGAUGUAAAAACCAGUGGUAAAAGCUCCUGCCAGCCUCUGGAAGACAAAAGGUGGCCUCCUAAUAGCCUGGAUUAACUCAAAGCAGAUCUCCGCCCACUUCAUUUGUCACCUUCCAAGUCAUCCUUCCACCUUCAUUUGCCACAUAAUCCAAUCAGGCCCUUUCAGAUGCCUGGGAGCUAUUGUCCACACCAAGCUGGGCUUCUGCAAGGCGGCCUGAGUUGUUUUUGUCUUGUCCGGACAAAACUGGUUGGCUUAAAAGGGGACGAAAGAAAGUGCUGGUCAAAUGAGGACCCCAAUUAGCUUCCAAGAGACUGUUUUCAUCAUCUUUGUAUCACAUCCCAGGCCUGGUGUGCUGGGCAUAUUGUCAGGGUUCCAGAAAAUGUUUGUUGAAUUAAUUCCGUUUUUAUUUCUUCUGGAAUUUACUUAUGGAGUGCAAACACACACAGCACCUACUGGGUGCUGGCUGUUACUACUGCGGGAGAAGAGGGCUGGGCAUGUGAAGGACGGAGGACAGCCUCCGGGGGAUAAGUAUCUCGCAAUUUCCACAGCAAUUUACAAAGCACUUUCAUAGCAGUUACAUCAUUUGGUCUUCAAAAGCGCCCUGUGGGGUAGAUAAACGCGGAGGUUUUUUUUUUUUUUUUUUUUUAAUCCCCAUUUAGACCAUGAAAGGAACUGAGACUCGGAGAAGUUAAGCGACUUGUUUAAGGUCACACUGUUACUGGGAGGUGGAGCCAGCACAGGGUACCAGCUCUGGGGCCACCCAGACCCCAAGACCACCCUGGGCAGCUGGGAUUUCAAAGAGACUGUCCCUUUGUCAAAUGUCUGACUGGACGUCAAAGGGCUUUUAAUAUAACUCUGGGCUAGGGGGUACAGGGCGGCUACAAUGGCACCCAGGAUCCAACUAUGACCUCUUCUCUUGCCAGCAGUGUGACAAAAUACUUACAUCCCUCCAGCCUCGGCGUCCAUCCUCACUGCCAACGUGGGUGACCCCUAUCCCGUGGGAGGGGCACUCAGCUUUCAUGAGUCCUCUUCCCCACCCACCUUUUGAAAAUUACUCAAAUCAAUGACAAAUUCAUUCUCAUCUGUAAAUGAGGCCGCCUCAUACACAUACUCCUAUGACAUAGAAAGAACAUUCAUCUACAUAGAAAGUGCUCUGGAAAUGACCGCAUGCAUAAUUCGUAUUCCUUCAGGUCAGCCCAGGACCCUCUGGUGGAGCCCCUACCUGAUGCAAGGAGAGCCUGGGGGACAGGGGCUGUCCGGAGUGCUGUGGGAGAACAAGUACGACAAGUGAGAGAGGUAGGAAUGGAUUGACCUGCCAAAUUUUUUCAACAAACAUUUGCUGACCGCAUCCUCUAUGCCCAGCCCUGCCCAAGGCUGCCUUCUCUCAUUUAAUACUCACAACAACCCUAGGAGGUUGCACUUCUCAUCCCCAUUGCCCAGAAAGGACGGGGGAUCUCGAAAGAGGGGAGCAUGCCUUUGGCAGUUCAGUAGCAUGACAUGAGGGCUCAUGCUCAUUCCACAAGCCCACCCUGGGCCUUGGAAUCGCCAGUGAGAUGCUAGAGGAGCCUCUGGCCUAGGUCCCCCUCCUGAGGAGUUCCCAAAGGGAUCUUUCCGUUCAGGACAUCAUAAGGGCAACAGCAGGGUCAGUGGAGAAAGACUGACGCCACCCUGAGGGAAGCGCUCCAGGUCGCCGGCACAUUAACACAGCAGAGACUUAUGGGAAAGUAUUCACAGAGACCAAGCACAAGCGUAGCAAAGAUCAGGGGUUAGCAGCCAGUGCCCCCUCACUAGGGCACUGGUUCAAGCCUUUAGCCAAGAGGGACAGCUGGCUUGUCAGUCCUGGUCCUCUUCAUCCCUCGUCGUCCUGGUCCUGGGGGUCUCUGCCAGCGGCUGCUUUGUAUGCUGGGGGGAUCCAGGAAUCGGUGCUCCUAGUGUCCUCUGCAAUUGAUCAAAGGUUAGAGGAGCCACUUAAAAGCCCAAGUCUACAUAUUAAUUAAAAUUUAAAUGAAUUAAUCACAACUAAAACUAAUUAGUUAAAAUUUAACAUUGUCUUUUAAUUGCUAAUGGGUCUGGGGGCGGUGCAAGGAGGGUGGCAGGGAUGGGGAAUUGUGCCCACCAUGUUGGGUAUAAACAGCCACAGGAGGGGUUAGGUACCAUGAGGUGGAGACGAGCCGCAAGCAGCUUGGCAACAGCUUGGCAUGGAGAGGUGGUCCUUGAAGACAAGGCGAACGGAUGAUGUCAUCCCUGAAGAGAGGCCCUAUGGCACCGGAGGGGGCCAGAUUAGAAACCAUCUUAAUGACCUCUAACGGCCAGCACAGGAACAGCAGAGAGAGGGAGGGGACAGUCAGAGGGAGAGGGAGGGGGGAGUAGGAGAGAGGAGGGAGGUGGGAGGGGUUGAGAGGGAAGAGGGAAGGGUAUGGAGAGAGGAGGCAGGAGGGAGGAGGGGGAGGGAACGGGAGAGAGGAAGGGGAGGGGAAAGUAGGAAUGAGGAAAACGGGAGGGGAGGGGGAAGAGGAGAAACGGGAGGGGGAGGAGGGAGAGAAGCGGAAGGGGGAGGAGGGAGAGAAGUGGGAGGGGGUAAGGAAGACUUGACUGACAGGGCACAAGUGUUAGCUGUGUGCGCAUGCGCAACCUGAAGGCCCGUUUAGCGGGCCGAGAGCCAUUUGCAGGCACAGACCGCUAGGGGGCGUCCGGCCAGCAUCCAGAGCCCAAGAGCACAGCCACCUGCGGCGCGCGCCUCGCCGGAGCCUCCCGCGCCCCCGCCCGCGCCUGGCCCGCAGCUGCCAGGGACACAGCUGGCGUAGGAUGGGCGGGGGGCUGCCCAACAGGUCUCUGGCCGGGAGGGGGGGGCACAGCCCACCCCAGCCCAUCACGCAGGGCCACCAUGUCCCCUAAACGCCACGCCCGCCAUCACUAGCCAGAAUCCACCUGUGGACUUCGGGCAGCACUACCUCACAAGCCCAGGGGGCCUUCUGCGCCCCCCUAACUGUGGGGGGGGGGGGUCAACCUACACCAGAGAGACACUCGCCAGAAGGAUCUUUCCAGAACACGAUUCCACUUUUAAUAAGCAAAAACAGAGAGAUCUUGGUCCCGACCUUCGGUAAAUCCAAUUAAAGAUAAAUUAAUUAAAAUUAUAAAGGGCCAGUUCUCAAUACACCGUUUUCACUCACUUUUGUGGUCUCAGGACACAUGAUACAAAAUAUGACAACCUUAGAAAAUAUAAAGACGGCCAAAAUCGUCUAAUAUCAUCCAGACAACCAACGACCCCCCCCCAAAUCUCGCCUCCAUUCUUCGCCAAGACCCCUCACGAUAGCGCCUAAUUAACCAUUUUACCAGCCCUCUUCAGCCUACUCAAAUGAGCCACGUCUUCCUAAGACCCCCUAAACCAUCAUCCAUUGAAAUAAACUGAUCUGCGUCCACGCUCUUCCACGACACCCUAAGUCGCGCAACCAACGCGGAUCACGGCAUCUCUGCUCAGCGCGAAUCCUGCAGCCUCUCUUCC
ensembl:lncRNA